UAGGGAAUCUUCCGCAAUGGACGAAAGUCUGACGGAGCAACGCCGCGGGAGUGAAGAAGGAUUUCGGUUCGUAAAACUCUGUUGUUAGGGAAGAAAAAAUGUAUAGUAACUAUAUACAAAAGAGACGGUACCUAACCAGAAAGCCACGGCUAACUACGUGCCAGCAGCCGCGGUAAUACGUAGGUGGCAAGCGUUGUCCGGAAUUAUUGGGCGUAAAGCGCGCGCAGGUGGUUUAGAAAGUCUGAUGUGAAAGCCCACGGCUCAACCGUGGAGGGUCAUUUGAAACUAAUAAACUUGAGUGCAGGAGAGAAAAGUGGAAUUCCUAGUGUAGCGGUGAAAUGCGUAGAGAUUAGGAGGAACACCGGUGGCGAAAGCGGCUUUUUGGCCUGCAACUGACACUGAGGCGCGAAAGCGUGGGGAGCAAACAGG
rnacentral:rRNA from 1 species